UAGGACAAGUUGCUCGCCAAGUGC
rnacentral:siRNA from 1 species